rnacentral:rRNA from 1 species
UAAGACAGAGGGUGCAAGCGUUGUUCGGAAUUACUGGGCGUAAAGCGCGCGUAGGUGGUUAUGUGUGUCUGGCGUGAAAUCCCUUGGCUUAACCAAGGAAGUGCACCAGAAACUGCAAAACUUGAGUUCGGGAGAGGAUGGUAGAAUUCUCAGUGUAGAGGUGAAAUUCGUAGAUACUGGGAGGAACACCGGUGGCGAAGGCGACCAUCUGGACCGAUACUGACACUGAUGUGCGAAAGCGUGGGUAGCAAACAGGAUUAGAUACCCUGGUAGUCCACGCCGUAAACGAUGAUAACUAGGUGUAGGAGGUAUUGACCCCUCCUGUACCGAAGCUAACGCAUUAAGUUAUCCGCCUGGGGAGUACGGUCGCAAGAUUA